AUUUUAAAAUUAUUAUAAAUAUAGUGUAAAACUCGUACUUUUAAAAGAAAAACGAAUGUUAAAAUUAUAAUAACAAUUAAAGAUAUCAAUUUAAUUUGAGAAACAUAAUUGAAUAAUUUUAAAA
rnacentral:rRNA from 1 species